rnacentral:pre_miRNA from 1 species
GUUUAAGGGGCUGAUCCAAAGCCCACUGCAGUCAGUGAAAGUCUUUUCAUUGACUUUACAAGGCUUUGAAUCAGGGCCUAACAGC